rnacentral:rRNA from 1 species
UGGGGAAUAUUGCACAAUGGGCGCAAGCCUGAUGCAGCCAUGCCGCGUGUAUGAAGAAGGCCUUCGGGUUGUAAAGUACUUUCAGCGGGGAGGAAGGGAGUAAAGUUAAUACCUUUGCUCAUUGACGUUACCCGCAGAAGAAGCACCGGCUAACUCCGUGCCAGCAGCCGCGGGAAUACGGAGGGUGCAAGCGUUAAUCGGAAUUACUGGGCGUAAAGCGCACGCAGGCGGUUUGUUAAGUCAGAUGUGAAAUCCCCGGGCUCAACCUGGGAACUGCAUCUGAUACUGGCAAGCUUGAGUCUCGUAGAGGGGGGUAGAAUUCCAGGUGUAGCGGUGAAAUGCGUAGAGAUCUGGAGGAAUACCGGUGGCGAAGGCGGCCCCCUGGACGAAGACUGACGCUCAGGUGCGAAAGCGUGGGGAGCAAACA